AGAAUAGAUAUUUUGUGGUUUUCAGGCUAGCCUAACAAUAUAAUCAUAAUCACCAUCACGUUUAUUCUGAUCCUUAAUUAUGUGUCACGUACAGACUCACGUAUGUAUUGUUCGAGUCACGGAUUGUCACGGAUAGGUAACUUUCUUAUUGCUAUUGGUUAGUUGGGCAAAAACACAAUACACACGUGAUGGUGAAGUCUAUUAUUUUGCAGCCAAUGCAGCCAUCCUCAUUCGAUAGGCCAUGGUCAUACAUUGACAGUGGUUCAACUCAGAGGUUCAGCUCAUAGCUUCGCCCAGGCAACGCCCACAUCGCAAGAGACCAAUCAAACAGUUUAAUACUAGCAAGAUAAGCAAUAUUCUGUGAGUAUUUUGUUAAAAGAUGAUAAAAAAGAUAGAUAUACACUGCCAUAUACUGCCGAAAGAGUGGCCUGAUUUGAAGAAGGUUAGUUGAAACGAU